AUUGGGGUGGCAGAGCCCGGAUUCGCGAAAGGCCUAAGCCCUUUCCCACGAAGGUUCAAAUCCUUCCCCCAAUU
rnacentral:tRNA from 1 species